rnacentral:rRNA from 1 species
UACGAAGGGGGCUAGCGUUGCUCGGAAUCACUGGGCGUAAAGGGUGCGUAGGCGGGUCUUUAAGUCAGGGGUGAAAUCCUGGAGCUCAACUCCAGAACUGCCUUUGAUACUGAAGAUCUUGAGUUCGGGAGAGGUGGGUGGAACUGCGAGUGUAGAGGUGAAAUUCGUAGAUAUUCGCAAGAACACCAGUGGCGAAGGCGGCUCACUGGCCCGGAACUGACGCUGAGACGCGAAAGCGUGGGGAGCAAACAGG